AUUGAACGCUGGCGGCAGGCCUAACACAUGCAAGUCGAGCGGUAGCACAGGGAGCUUGCUCCUGGGUGACGAGCGGCGGACGGGUGAGUAAUGUCUGGGAAACUGCCUGAUGGAGGGGGAUAACUACUGGAAACGGUAGCUAAUACCGCAUAACGUCGCAAGACCAAAGAGGGGGACCUUCGGGCCUCUUGCCAUCAGAUGUGCCCAGAUGGGAUUAGCUAGUAGGUGGGGUAACGGCUCACCUAGGCGACGAUCCCUAGCUGGUCUGAGAGGAUGACCAGCCAAACUGGAACUGAGACACGGUCCAGACUCCUACGGGAGGCAGCAGUGGGGAACAUUGCACAAUGGGCGCAAGCCUGAUGCAGCCAUGCCGCGUGUAUGAAGAAGGCCUUCGGGUUGUAAAGUACUUUCAGCGGGGAGGAAGGCGAUAAGGUUAAUAACCUUGUCGAUUGACGUUACCCGCAGAAGAAGCACCGGCUAACUCCGUGCCAGCAGCCGCAGUAAUAC
rnacentral:rRNA from 1 species